AUAUCAUCUUACAGGUUGCAAUCGACUGUAUGGUGGAGAGUUACAAUGAACCUGCCUGGGUUCUUUCUGACUAACCAAAGAAGUCAAACAAUUAACGCCUAAUAGAACACCUACAUGAGAAAUUUCUAAGCACCAUCAUCGAUAAUUUCCUUGAAAAUUUUCCCACCCUUUAUAUAGAUGUGAAAAGUCAACAUUAGCUCUCAAACAGUUGAGUUUGAUCUGCAGACGGUUGGAUUCGCUUCUUUCAAAGUGGGGAUUAUGUUCUUCUAGCGAACAUGUUUGCAAGUGCUAGCCAAUGGAACAAAGUGACAAGAGUGAGAGAGGCAAUGAGAAACAGAGGAGUUCAGAAACCAGAGCCAGGUAAGAAGUUCUGGACUGUGUUUCAUCUGCAGCCUAUGCGUGAUCAGAAGGUACAAUUCCAAAAAAAUAUCAUCUAAUUUCACAUUAUUUCCAUUGCUUUAUGAUUAUACAAUUCCAAAAAAAUGAGAAGCAGAGGUUAACAGUACACAGACUGCUGAAAUUGAUGUUUUACCAAUAGAUCACUACUAUGAUGCCUUAGGAGGGCCUGAAUUGGAUACUCUCAGGGUACAUGGACUUUUGUUUUUUUUUUUUUGCUGCUACUGUUGUUGUGCUCCAUUUGCUUCGUUCAGCUGACAGGAUAUCAUCUCUAUAAUUAUAAAUGUUGUUUCAAAGCAAGUGUGGAGUGCUACUAAUUUGGAGAGAUCUGACAUAAAUAAAGUCUUCUAUUGGUACGAGAGCAUAAUCAAGUUCUCAAAUCUGCACUUGAUUGAAAAAGAUCUUAAUGGCAUUAGUGCUAACAUGGAAUGCAUAUGCAAAGUUAGUUAUUUAUGUGCAAAAAAAGAAAAAAAAAAAGGAGAAUGUGGUCCCGACCCAAUUGAGGAAGUUAUGCCCAAAGUGUAGUUAGCAUAGUGUCCCAGUGGGAAUCAGAAGUUUAACUGGUAAUGGUAUCAUCUCUCCUUGAUAGGGGCAAUAGUAAUGGACUGAAGACAACUGAAUCUGCUAAGGCAUCUAGAAGACAGUCCAUCAAUUUAUUAUUAUUAUUAUUUUUUCAUUUUCUUCAGAUUCUGAAUCUGCUAAGGCAUCUAGAAGACAACUGAAAGAGACAAUCUACUCAGUGUUGUUUGAUAUGAAUGUUCCUGCUGUUUGUAGAAGAACUGUAGGCAUGGCAGCUGAGACCACUUCUCAUCACAUUAUUGUUGAAGUGUGCAACAUUCGCAGGAAGACAAAUAAAUCUUCUUAAAAAAAGGUGAAAGAGCGUGCUUCUUUCUCCCAAAGCAAUUUAUAACCUCUUGACAAGAGUGCAGGAUCUCAUCCAUGCUCCGCUCGAGUACUUUCAAGCGCAUCUUAUCAAGGUGAAUGUGGCCAACAAGGCCUGUAUCCGCUUCUGAACUUU